ACCUUACCUGGCCUUGACAUCCACAGAACUUAGCAGAGAUGCUUUGGUGCCUUCGGGAACUGUGAGACAGGUGCUGCAUGGCUGUCGUCAGCUCGUGUUGUGAAAUGUUGGGUUAAGUCCCGCAACGAGCGCAACCCUUAUCCUUUGUUGCCAGCGAUUCGGUCGGGAACUCAAAGGAGACUGCCGGUGAUAAACCGGAGGAAGGUGGGGAUGACGUCAAGUCAUCAUGGCCCUUACGGCCAGGGCUACACACGUGCUACAAUGGCGCAUACAAAGAGAAGCGACCUCGCGAGAGCAAGCGGACCUCAUAAAGUGCGUCGUAGUCCGGAUCGGAGUCUGCAA
rnacentral:rRNA from 1 species